rnacentral:rRNA from 1 species
CAGUCGCCGCGGUAAUACGGAGGGUGCGAGCGUUAAUCGGAAUUACUGGGCGUAAAGGGUGCGUAGGUGGUUUGGUAAGUUAUCUGUGAAAUCCCUGGGCUCAACCUGGGCAGGUCAUAUAAAACUGUUAGACUCGAGUAUGAGAGAGGGUAGUGGAAUUUCCGGUGUAGCGGUGAAAUGCGUAGAGAUCGGAAGGAACACCAGUGGCGAAGGCGGCUACCUGGCUUAAUACUGACACUGAGGCACGAAAGCGUGGGGAGCAAACAGGAUUAGAGACCCCCGUAGUCCCUGUCUCUUAUAC